UUUCUUUGUUUUGUUAAUUAAAGUAUCUGUUGUAGCUUUUGAAUAUCUACAGAAGCCAAAGCUUUUUCGCACUGUGAAAUCAAGAGAACAAAUGAAGACCACAUUAUUUGUUAUAUAGCAUAUAGUUAACAAAGCAUUGUUUGUAUUAAAUAGUGGAAAUACAGUGCCACAGGUUAUAACUUUAAUUCAUUUUUAAGUUGAACUUUUCUUUGUCUUUCUCUUUAUAAUAGGUUCUUCAUCAGACUAUCAACUGAGGACUAUGACUUUGACAAUGCUUUUGGGGUUCUCUGCCGUAUAUGCAGGUUUUAAGUUCUGAUUUUUAAUGAAGAUGCUACUAAGCUUCCUCUGCCAUAUCCUAAAGUCGGAUAUCUUACUGUACGACCAGUACGGAAACCAAUUGCAUGUCAUAGUGAUUGGCUAUGACCAUAAUUUAUUUUGAACAAUGAAGGACUUCAACAGCAGGUCACCAAAGGUGACGAAAAGCAAGCAGAAGAUCAGGAGAUACAGCUAUGAAAGUUAAUAUUCUAGAUAUAUGUUCUGUUACAGUUUGCCACCAGAUAUGAAAUCAAUAAAAUUUAUGGGGUAUCAAAUUUCUUGCCGCAGUUUAUCGACCCAAAGUAGGGACAAAGAAGAAUGAAAAUCCUAAAAAAGCUUGCAUUGAGGUUAUUUGGAAGCCUAAAACAAGCAAGAGUGGUCAGUUUCUGCAACUAUAUUUGUGUUUUGUGGAAAAACAUAAAGGGAAUAUGAGAUGAUAUUGAAAAGGACCUUGCAAAGCAUCUGUAUAUGGACAUCGGGCUGUGUUACGUACUCAGAAGUUUGUUGACUACUCAGCAUUUGAUGACCAUGGUUUCUACUGUCUUUGGCACAGUCAACAAAUGCCUUGAUUAUAUCUAAGUAGAACAUUCUACUUCAUGUAGAGAUAUCUGUUUUCAGUUGUUCGGGAAGCCUCUACUUACACCGACCUCAACCCUCGACUGUAUCUCUUUGUUCGGGAAGCAUCUGUUUACACUGACCUCUACUGUUACACCCAAAUACCCAAAUCGUUGAUCCUAAUCGUGCCACUACUGAUUCCUCCGUGUUUUCUACAGCCAUAUAAAUGACAUUGAGAGAGUUAGGUACCCAAUACAAUUUCUUUAGGAAUUCACUCUUUGUGGCCCUAUACUAUCAGUUCUGAACAAGCGAACUCAUCUCCGGGUUUGUUUUGGCUUGUUCAGUGGAUUGUCCCUCCACAAUUUCUCAUUCUCUCUGAUCUUAUUCCCCGACCGAUAGUGAGAAGCAGAAAGAAAGCAGCCGAGAGAAAGAGAGAGAGAGAGAGAGAGAGAGAGAGAGAGAGAGAGAGAGGGUACGUAUCAGUGCAACCCAGCUACAACCGAUUGUUACAUCAAUGUUUUCCUCCAUGAUCGAGAGAUAGAGUUGUCGUUUGGAGGAGUUUUUGAUGGUGCAACCCAGACGGAGCUUUGUUGCUUGCGAUUUGCGAAUUUGGAUUUUGAUCAAGGAAUAUAUUCGGCAAAGAAGACCUCAUUUGGUAAGUGUUCUUGCUGUCUAGACUUUUGUUGAAUUUAGCAUGAGAAUUGUCAGAGAAAUCAUGCUCAAGUUUAAAUCUUUAGAAAUUUUUUGAUAAGGUUUCUUUUUCUGAGAACUCUAGAGGAUUAAUUUCUUUGAAGUUGUAAGUUUUCAACUUUUUAGUAUAAUUUUAAAGCCAUGGCCACAGAGUAGAGUAGAAAACUGAAAUGAGUUGGUCUGCUGGUGUGAGAUUAUAUGCUGUUGAGGAACUCUUCUUAUGCUUAAAUUAAAGAUGGUAUAUGAAACAGGGUUAUUGCUCUAUG